rnacentral:rRNA from 1 species
UACGUAGGUGGCAAGCGUUGUCCGGAAUUACUGGGUGUAAAGCGCGUGUAGGCGGGAGGCCAAGUCUGCUGUGAAAUCGCCCGGCUCAACUGGGCGGGGUCGGUGGAAACUGGUCACCUGGAGGACGGUAGAGGCGAGUGGAAUUCCCGGUGUAGUGGUGAAAUGCGUAGAGAUCGGGAGGAACACCAGUGGCGAAGGCGGCUCGCUGGGCCGGACCUGACGCUGAGACGCGAAGGCGUGGGGAGCGAACAGG